GCCGGCAGCUAGCUCUCUGCAACUCUCACAUGGUUGCCCACUGAAGCUAAGCAGGGCUGUGCCUGGUCAGUACCUGGAUGGGAGACCACAUGGGAAAGCUAGGUUGCUGCCGAAA
rnacentral:rRNA from 1 species